rnacentral:tRNA from 1 species
GGGGCAGUAGCUCAGGGGGAGAGCACUACGCUGAAGACGUAGGAGUCGUGAGUUCGAAUCUCACCUGCCCCA